rnacentral:rRNA from 1 species
CGGUAGGUCAGCAUGCCCCGAAUUAUCUGGGCUACACGCGGGCUACAAUGGGUGGGACAAUGGGUAUCGACACCGAAAGGUGAAGGCAAUCUCCUAAGCCCAUCCGUAGUUCGGAUUGUGGGCUGCAACUCGCCCACAUGAAGCUGGAAUCUGUAGUAAUCGUGUCUCAAAAUGGCACGGUGAAUAUAUCCCUGCUCCUU